ensembl:lncRNA
CUGGAUGCCAAAUAUUAGGAGAGUUUUUCUUUUCUUAACACUGUUUUUUGGUGAAGCAACAUCACAUCAUAUGCCAUUUAUAAAUAAUUGAUGCAAGAUCAUGUAAUAUGCUGUUAUAUCAAGGCACAUAUUUGCUUCGGCUGUAAUGUCUGUGUGAAGUAGUUUUGCUUUGGCUGUAAUGAUGACAUCAGUCAUAAAUAAUUGUCAUGGAAAGUUACUGGUCCGAGCACAAAUCUCCUCACUCAUCUUCACUCUCAUGAUAAUAAUGUAACUGGCAAUACUCACCCAUGUGGGAGAAUUCCUGCCUGAGGGGGAGGAAUUUUGUACAGGCAGCACAUUAAGAGGGUUAACAGGACGAGAAGUUUCCAGAUGCUUUAAAUUAAACCAAGUGGUUAUUCCUAACCAUAAAUGUUUAACUCCACUCCCUCAGCGAAUCACUUUCAAAAUAGAUAUUUAUUUUCAAACAAAACCAGUUGCCUUGUGAAACUGUUGGUUGGUUAGGGGAAAAAAAAAUGACCUAAUGCUUCUGAAUAAAAUAUCUGAUCUCUUGUUGCCAAGGCUGAGUCACUUCCUGUUACAAUAACAAGACUGUCAUCAGCAAACUUCUUUUGCCACAGUUUGCCAGCGUAUGCAUGGCUUUAUUUGUCCAUGUUGUUAGAAAGUUAGUGUUGAAAAACACACCGUACUAAAUUUGGAGACACAGCGUUGUAGUAGCACGUUAGUGCUGGAUCUCAGUUUCUCUUAUUCCUGAUAGUAUGAUCUAUUGGUGCAACAUGAUCAUAUAUCCACCCAGCUGCGUACAGUUAUGCUGUAAUUCUAUCAAGGGAUUCUGGACGCAGUAUAAUGCAUUAGUAUCAGCGUGGCUUUCUCAACUGGAAUUUGCAGGAUCAUAGUCAGCUGUUUCUUAUUUACAGGAAUAAGAUUUGAAAAACAUCCGGAAGUUCAUUCCUUUUGUCACCUAGCAGAUAUCCUCUAGUGUUUUCUCAACAGUGGCAGCUCUUAAAGCAGUGUUUCAGUCAUGUCCUGAACCAUUCAGCCUGCCGUGGUUUCAGUCAUCCUGCUGUGUUCAGACAGGGCUGGCAUGGGGCAGAGGUGGGCUUUUACACAACAGCUGUGAAAUUCCCGGGCAAAGUAAACUGACAAAAACCCUUUCUUCUGUUAGAGCAGCUAGAAAAUAAAAGCUCAAUCCAAUGUUCACUUUCAGUAUUAUUCCUGUUCCCCCUCCUCCAAGUGGAAGUGUUGCUAUCUGGGAGUGGUGUCUGGUAUGCGGGUGCUCAGGAUGACCGUCAGAUCUGUACGUGAAUCCUACCCCUGACUCAUGCUCUGUGACUCACCUGAGUCUAUGGAUAAGAAUUAAAGGAUCAUUUAUGCUAGUUCUUCCCGAGAGCCAUGUGGUGGAUAGUCCUGGACACCUGGCAUCUCUUAUGCCUCAGUUCUUCAACCACAUCCAGAGGAGUCCAAAUGAAUGAAAGUAUCUGAGAGCAGCUGCUCAGAAGAGGAAGGGCAUCAUGCUGAUCCCGACUGUGUCAAUUUGGGCAUCCUUUUCUGCCACUUCAACUUUCAAAAUCAAAUUGUUAUAAUCAAGAUGCAGAACAAGGAUCCAACGAGGGGCCAGCCAAGCUUAAUCUGCAGUUUUUCUUCCUUCUGUAUUUUUACAAAAAAUAAAUAAAAAG